AAAGAAAUUCUAGACAGUGCAUUCACUCUUAAAAACUUAUAGCAGGAUUUAACUGUGAACUCCCCUUGCUUCUCUAAUUUCCACACAAGUCUAUCAUUUAUGUCCUACAGUUGAACAGUGGCUAAAAGUUGUAAUAAGGUCUCAUAUUCCUCAAUCUCCCGAUCAUUCAAAUUCCUAUGCAUAUUCACCUCCAAACUGGUCUCCCUUCCACCAUCACAUAUGCCUCAUCCAUGGUCAUCAUCUUCGAUUGUGCAAUGGCAAAGAUACUAGGGAAUUGGUAUUUGAGUCAUCCAUUCCCAAUCCAUUUAUCUUUCCAAAAAACGGAUUUUAUUACCUUUCCCUAUUCUCUAUUGAAUACAAUCAUAGAACUGUUGUUAUCCAUCCCAAUCUUCUGCCACAAACCCGACCCAUGAAGUCUAACCAACUCCUUCACCACCCCACUCCUAUCCCCCUGCCC
rnacentral:lncRNA from 1 species